CAAAGUUCGGCUAAGUCAGCCCAUGUAAACGGUAGGUUCAGAUUUUUUUCUCACAAUACAUGAUUCCACGGCUGUGGUUGAUCCCCUGAAACACAAUCUCAUUAAUUAUACCUUAAAUGAAAAUUUUGUUUACUAUUUCAUGUCGUUUCUCUUCUCCACCGUAGUUUUCAAUUUUCCAGUAUCCUUUUACCUUCUCCAACUCGCGGCAGCAUCUGUAAGCAUAAGAAACCAAAAUCUCUUUUCUCUUAUGGGAAAAUUCUUUUCUGUCUGAAAUUCUUUUCUUUUCUUCACAUGAUCCAUCGCUGAAGAAAGGGGGCUCAAACCCUAGAAACCCAAAAAACUUAGAAGAACUGAAGGAGAUGACUAUUCCCCCUUUUGUGAUGUUUUGCUUUGAAUUUCAUGUUGACUGAAUAAAUUAGAAUGAUUCGUUUUUGUUUUUUUUUUUGGUAUCGUGAGUUUUUCUGAAGUUUAUUCUACUUGCAAUUACGAUGAAUCAAGCGAGACAUAAUUGUUCCUCUUUGUCUAGCUUUAAAAUUCAAUUUGAUUGAAUAGAUUAUGAUGAUGGUACAAUUGCUCUAAAAAUGAAAGGCAUUCUGAACAAUCCGUCAGGACCAGUAAUUUCUCAACGAGCAAGAGAAAACAACACAAACAAAAGAUAUGUUUGCACUAAUGGAAGGUUUGGCUAAUUACAUGGUAUUGAGCUAAAGGCUAAAGCCCUCUGGAUGGUAAUUGGUGCUGGACCUCAAAGACUACCACUGGCAAGUAAAGAAGUGGUCAAGAAGCUUCCCAUAAUGACCGUACGGAUAUUGACGAGACUGCAUAAUAACACAAGGUCCUCUGCUUGUCAUUAGGAAUUGGUCAUUGAUGACAAUAUGCUGGAGUUACCUUUCAAACAUUUCUAAUUGAUAUGCAAUUCUCACUUGCUUUCUCAGUUUGUAUAGUAAGUGCCAUUCAGAAGAAACGCCUUAGCCUAUUUUGGUUUUGCUUACCUGAAGAUGUUGAAGGAAUUUUAGAAGUAAUUUUGGAUUCUAAGCUGAGUACGUGGAAACCAGUUUUGGAUUAUGGAAAGGAGAGAGAUUGAUCAAUCAACAAUGCACAAGUUGCUCUACAAAUGAUAUAGGAGUUUACCUUUUCCCUUGAAGUUGGAUCAUCCGAAUUGUACUUUUUAAUGUCUGCGGUUGAAACAAAUUUUGGCCAGCUCCCUUGCAAUAUUGUUUACAGUAAACCAGUUGGUUCAAUUACUGAAAAUAUCUAAUAAGGUGAACAUUGUCCGUUAAGAUCUAUGUAUGAAGUCUCAUUAGGUGUUUUUGUUUCAGAAGCUUAACGGGAAAUUAAAGUUUCUUUCGUAUAAGUUUGAGUGACAUCUUUACACCUCGAGAUAUAAAAGUUAUUUAAAAAAAAA